AUCCUAUAGCUUGUCAUUCUGAAGGUGAGAGCAAAAAGCAGAGAAUAAAGAAGCGGAAGAUAUCGAAAAGAACGGAAAAGAAUAACCGAGAAAAUGGAAAAAGCAAGUCUUCGUCCACCACAUCAACUCCGUUAUCAGACUUCGUUACACAUGUGCCUGGGGGUUCCUAUCCUGUUCGUCCUGUGCCUCGGUAACAUUUGCUACAGAGUUGGGGACAAUUCCCUUUCGUCUUGGUGAUGGACAACAAGACACAAAGCAAAGUACAGUCUGAGGGAUUAGAGUUUGUGAAAGAUGAGUAGAUAAUAACAAUUUGGCAUGUUCACCGCGUCCAAUCUACAAGUAACAUGUGGGGACGGAGAUGUGUUAUAGCGGGGACGGAGAUGUGUUAUAGCGGGGACGGAGAUGUGUUAUAGCGGGAACGGAGAUGUGCUUUAGCGAUUUGUUGGAGCGGGGACAGAGAUGUGUUGUAGCGGGGACAGAGAUGUGUUGUAGCGGGGACGGAGAUGUGUUGUAGCGGGGACGGAGAUGUGUUAUAGCGGGAACGGAGAUGUGCUUUAGCGAUUUGUUGGAGCGGGGACAGAGAUGUGUUGUAGCGGGGACAGAGAUGUGAUGUAGCGGGGACGGAGAUGUGUUGUAGUGGGGACGGAGAUGUGUUGUAGUGGGGACGGAGGUGUGUUGUAGCGGGGUCGGAAAUGUGAUGUAGCUGGGACGGAAAUGUGCUGUAGCGGGGACGGAGAUUUGAAGCGGUAUAAAUCAGUGGUGGAUCCAGGAUUUCCGAGAGGGGAAAGAGCAUGUGAAAUUAGAAUAUUGGCCAAAAUACUCGGGCAAUUUGGGUGCCAAUCUGGACGUUAAAGGGGGAGGGUCUCAUUACAUAAGCAAGAAGCCAGAUGAAAGUACCGGUCUGUUGAACCGGUAGUUGUAUUCAUACGCAAGAAAAGACUGACCACGUGACCAAUUUCAUGUUAUAGGAAAUUGAACGUCAAUUUCAUUAGUAUUGUCAUAAAUACAUUGACAAAUGUAGAUAUAUAAAGUUGAACAUUAUUUUCCACUGUCUUAAAUCAUGCUUUACGGGGUAGAUUUCACCAUAAAAUUCACCUACAUGUAUAUCACCCAAAAAUGACAGAUAGGUCUAUAUCUAUGUCACGAACAUACAUGUUACUUUAUCUUAUUCAUAUAUGCCGAUAUCAGUUAAUAUUUCACGCUUACGUUGUAAUACACUUCACAUUAAAUUUUUCAUAUGGAGUAAAAUUUAAUAAACUGUAUAAUGGUCUUUUUCAUUUUGUUUGAUCAGUUUAUUUUCAAAUAUGGGUGGACAUUUUAUUUUGAAUUUCCACAGAGACGAGGACCACACAGGAGAAUAAUUUUCAGUCAGAUAAGCUUUUCUUCUGUUUGUAUUAUUUUUCUAUCUGAAGAUAUGUA